CGGCGGACGGGUGAGUAACGCGUGGGUAACCUGCCUCGUACAGGGGGAUAACAGUUGGAAACGGCUGCUAAUACCGCAUAAGCGCACAGUACCGCAUGGUACCGUGUGAAAAACUCCGGUGGUAUGAGAUGGACCCGCGUCUGAUUAGCUAGUUGGUGGGGUAACGGCCUACCAAGGCGACGAUCAGUAGCCGACCUGAGAGGGUGACCGGCCACAUUGGGACUGAGACACGGUCCAA
rnacentral:rRNA from 1 species